rnacentral:misc_RNA from 1 species
UCAUUCCUUUGAUCAUUAAUCAUCCACUCAUUCGAUCACACUCUUGUGAUCCAUGUUGGUGGUGGUGGUCGAGACAUGGACCUUCACCAGUGAUCGUCUUGAAUGCAUGCACGGGUUGUUUGUGAGAGAGAGAAGGAUAGUGCAUUCUGUCUGUCGAUCGACCAAUCACGUCCACUUGUU